UACAGGGGGUGCGAGCGUUGUCCGGAAUCACUGGGCGUAAAGGGCGCGUAGGCGGCUUGAUAAGCGUGCGGUGAAAGCCCGGGGCUCAACCCCGGGUCGGCCGUGCGAACUGUCGAGCUGGAGCACUGUAGAGGCAGGUGGAAUUCCGGGUGUAGCGGUGGAAUGCGUAGAGAUCCGGAAGAACACCGGUGGCGAAGGCGGCCUGCUGGGCAGUGGCUGACGCUGAGGCGCGACAGCGUGGGGAGCAAACACGG
rnacentral:rRNA from 1 species